GUGAGGAAUAUUGGUCAAUGGGCGAGAGCCUGAACCAGCCAAGUCGCGUGAAGGAUGAAGGUUUUAUGAAUUGUAAACUUCUUUUGCAGGGGAAUAAAGUACGGUACGUGUACCGUUUUGUAUGUACUCUGCGAAUAAGGAUCGGCUAACUCCGUGCCAGCAGCCGCGGUAAUACGGAGGAUCCAAGCGUUAUCCGGAUUUAUUGGGUUUAAAGGGUGCGUAGGUGGAUUGAUAAGUCAGCGGUGAAAGUUUGCAGCUUAACUGUAAAAUUGCCGUUGAAACUGUCGGUCUUGAGUGCAAAUGAGGUAGGCGGAAUGUGUUGUGUAGCGGUGAAAUGCUUAGAUAUAACACAGAACUCCGAUUGCGAAGGCAGCUUACUGGGAUGCAACUGACACUGAUGCACGAAAGCGUGGGUAUCAAACAGGAUUAGAAACCCUGGUAGUCC
rnacentral:rRNA from 1 species